UACCAGCACCCCGAGUGGUCGGGACGUUUUAUUGGGCCUAAAGCAUCCGUAGCCGGUUCUACAAGUCUUCCGUUAAAUCCACCUGCUUAACAGAUGGGCUGCGGAAGAUACUACAGAGCUAGGAGGCAGGAGAGGCAAGCGGUACUCAGUGGGUAGGGGUAAAAUCCGUUGAUCCAUUGAAGACCACCAGUGGCGAAGGCGGCUUGCCCAGAAUGCGCUCGACGGUGAGGGAUGAAAGCUGGGGGGAGCAAACCGG
rnacentral:rRNA from 1 species